rnacentral:rRNA from 1 species
UACGUGGGGUGCGAGCGUUGUUCGGAAUUACUGGGCGUAAAGCGCGUGUAGGCGGCCUAUUAUGUCAGGUGUGUAAGCCCUCGUCCUAACCGAGGAAGUGCGCCUGAAACUGCUAGGCUUGAGUACGAGAGAGGUGGACGGAAUUCCCAGUGUAGAGGUGAAAUUCGUAGAUAUUGGGAUGAACACCGGCGGCGAAAGCGGUUCUCUGGAUCGAUACUGACGCUAAGACGCGAAAGCGUGGGGAGCAAACAGG